UCUCGCAGGCUAGCAGGAAAAGCUUUUCAUCGAUGGUCGUUUCCUCUUUGACUUCCCGCACGUCUUUUAAGGACAAGGUGGGACACAAUAGAAGGCAGCAGAGCAGAGCUAAUGGAGGACCAGGACAUCUGCAUUGCCCGAGCCCUACGGUGGAAAUGGUGCCAGCUGGGGCAGUGCCUGUGAUACCUGGCUUGGGUGAGAACAUCAAGAAUGAUGAUAAAUUUUCAACCUUAUGCCCCUUCUCAACUCCCAGCUCACCCUCUUCCUGUUAUCCGGCAUGGUGAGUGAGCUGUUGGUAGUGAUGGGACAUAUCAUUUCCCAACUUGCUCCAUUCCCUCAGCCUGACCAUCCCCUGCUUUCUGAUACCCAAGAAUCACCACAUGCCAACCACAGUGGCCCCAGGAGGAGAGCAACACCUCACCACGGAUGAAGAGGCUCCAUUCCUGACUUGACAUUUGCAGCCACAGGCUCAGAUAACAGAAUCGUGUAUACCUGGGAGGCCAGUACAGGGAUAGGAUCAGCACAUAGUGAACCACUGGGCAUCAGUGAACUGCAGCCUGACCAGGGGUAAUGGAAGGUUCAGUCAGCUCAAUGGAGGGUGAAGUCACAUACCAGUCCUGCCAGAAGGCAUUUGGAUGAAGCCCUCAUUAAGGUGGCAUACAUGAGAAAGCUGAUGGGCACUCACACUGAGAUGCUGAGUGCAUUAUCUGGCCUUGGACAUCCUCUCAUCACUGUCAAGGUGAAUGGAGGAAGAGUGUGGCUCCAACUUGCCCUCACUGUAGCCUCUGCUCCAUCUCCCUGCCAUGCUGAAGAUUCAGAGGCACUGCAACUUCAGCCCCCAUACUUGUUGCAGCCUAUUUCUGGACAGAUCACCUAAUCUUCUGCCAUCCCUAUGAAGAUGCGGCAACAGUCUUCUUCAAAUCCAGGAACUCACCACAAUCCCUCUAGAAACACCCCACAGUAUCUCCAGACACUUUCUAACAACAGAAACCAUGCCAGAGAAAAGAAAGGCAAUUCCAGUUCCAGGAAUCUGGUGUGCGAUCCAAAAGAAUAUGAAUGUGGCCACAUUCCCAAAUAUCUAUACAUAAUCUAGAAAAUAGAAGAAUUAGUAAAAAAAAACAAACAUGAAUUUGUUGUACAGAUAAAUAGGCCAGUUAUUUAUUGGAAUCUUUUUAUUUGCCGAGUCAUUUAAGCCUUGUAUUUGAAAAUCACUCAUUUUUGAUGUCUACUGAUAUAAAUAAAUACAUUUACAUCAUGAAAA